GCGGUCGAGUGGACCUACAGUCUUCACAGAAAUUGGAACAUACAGAGGAGAUUAAGAUGUCACCUGUGCAAGGAUGACACGAAAAAUCGUGCAGCAUUCCACAUUUUU